rnacentral:rRNA from 1 species
GUAAUCGCGGAUCAGCAUGCCGCGGUGAAUACGUUCCCGGGCCUUGUACACACCGCCCGUCACACCAUGGGAGCCGGUAAUACCCGAAGUCAGUAGUCCAACCUCGUGAGGACGCUGCCGAAGGUAGGAUUGGCGACUGGGGUGAAGUCGUAACAAGGUACC